rnacentral:tRNA from 1 species
AAGAAGGCCCUACCGGAGCUGCUAACUCACGGACCUUAGGAUUAAACCCCUAAACUUCUUGCU